rnacentral:lncRNA from 1 species
UGUUUUUUGGCUUUUGAGGGGAAUAGAGACAUAUGUUUGAACUUUGAAUGGUGGUUGUGACCUGUGAAGCCAUAACAAGUAGUAGUGAUUCAUGUAAUAUUGAUUUGAGCUACUAUAUUCUUAUUGCUCAUAGUUAGCAAAUACUAUUUGGAUUUUAAUUGACCGUUUCAGAAACUUCUCAAUCAAAUUUUUGCACUGGCCCUUUCCAAGGUAUCCUUAGUGGUGGUUGGUGGGAAAGCUGCGGAUUGUGCGUGGUGUUCGGAAAAAAUAGAGGGAGAGGGUCAUCUUUUUUAUACUCGCAAUUUUACUUCUGUUGUAUAUAUGGUAUACAAUUUUCAAGUGGGUGGGAAUGGGGUGAUUUUUCCCAGAACAUACUUUCCCUUUUCGAUUACUUUGUAUCCUCCUCCUUCGGUAAGAAACAUUGGAAAUGCUUAAUUCUUCUUUGACACACAAUUCUUUGAAAAAUUUGUGACGCAAGAAAUUCCAAGGAUGGAAGAGGUCGUUGAGGGUAUUAUAGUUUUCUUUUGAAUGUUGCUUUCAGCUAGGAAGAAAAGAUACCUUGUUUGUAUUAUUACUGGUUAUUCAACUCUCUCUUUGUUUUAAUAUAAUUCACUUU